rnacentral:rRNA from 1 species
CAAUAGCGUAUAUUAAAGUUGUUGCGGUUAAAAAGCUCGUAGUUGGAUUUCUGCUGAGAACGACCGGUCCGCCCUUUGGGUGUGUAUCUGGCUCUUUCUUGGCAUCUUCUUGGUGAACGUUGCUGCACUUGACUGUGUGGAGCGCUACCCAGGACUUUUACUUUGAGGAAAUUAGAGUGUUUCAAGCAGGCAUACGCCUUGAAUACAUUAGCAUGGAAUAAUAAGAUAGGACCUCGGUUCUAUUUUGUUGGUUUCUAGAGCUGAGGUAAUGAUUAAUAGGGAUAGUUGGGGGCAUUCGUAUUUAACUGUCAGAGGUGAAAUUCUUGGAUUUGCUAAAGACGGACUACUGCGAAAGCAUUUGCCAAGGAUGUUUUCAUUGA